rnacentral:tRNA from 1 species
GAGAAUAUAGCUCAGCAGUAGAGUAUAUGCUUAGCAUGCAUGAGGCCCUGGGUUCAAUCCCCAGCACCUCCA